rnacentral:rRNA from 1 species
GACGGAGGGUGCUAGCGUUGUUCGGAAUGACUGGGCGUAAAGGGCGCGUAGGCGGCCGCUUACGUCGGAUGUGAAAGCCCGGGGCUCAACCCCGGAACGGCAUCCGAUACGGGGCGGCUCGAGACCGAGAGAGGUGAGUGGAAUACCCAGUGUAGAGGUGAAAUUCGUAGAUAUUGGGUGGAACACCGGUGGCGAAAGCGGCUCACUGGCUCGGUUCUGACGCUGAGGCGCGAAAGCGUGGGGAGCAAACAGG